GCGUAGGUGGGUAGGUAAGUCAGCGGUGAAAUCCCCGAGCUUAACUUGGGAACUGCCAUUGAUACUAUCUGUCUUGAAUACCUUGGAGGUGAGCGGAAUAUGUCAUGUAGCGGUGAAAUGCUUAGAUAUGACAUAGAACACCAAUUGCGAAGGCAGCUCACUACACGGUCAUUGACACUGAGGCACGAAAGCGUGGGGAUCAAACAGGAUUAGAUACCCUGGUAGUCCACGCCCUAAACGAUGGAUACUCGACAUCAGCGAUACACUGUUGGUGUCUGAGCGAAAGCAUUAAGUAUCCCACCUGGGAAGUACGACCGCAAGGUUGAAACUCAAAGGAAUUGG
rnacentral:rRNA from 1 species